AACGCACCUUGCACUCUUUGGUAUUCCGAAGAGUAUGUCUGUUUGAGUGUCAUGAAACUCUCAACCCCCUUGUUUUGUAAUGAAACGAGUGUGGGAUUGGAUUAUGGCUGCUGCCGGCGUAAUUGUCGACUCGGCUGAAAUUCACGAGCGACCCAUUUCUAAGAAACAGACGGUUUGACUCGGCGUAAUAAACAUAUUUCGCUGAGGACGUCACAUUCUUAAACAUUAGUGGUGCUUCUAAUGCGACAUCUAAACCUGUGCUUUAGACCUCAAAUCAGUCAGGACUACCCGCUGAACUUAA
rnacentral:misc_RNA from 1 species